AUUGAACGCUGGCGGCAUGCCUUACACAUGCAAGUCGAACGGCAGCACGGGAGUAAUCCUGGUGGCGAGUGGCGAACGGGUGAGUAAUACAUCGGAACGUGCCCAGUAGUGGGGGAUAGCCCGGCGAAAGCCGGAUUAAUACCGCAUACGACCUAUGGGUGAAAGCGGGGGAUCGCAAGACCUCGCGCUUCUGGAGCGGCCGAUGUCAGGUUAGGUUGUUGGUGGGGUAAAAGCCCACCAAGCCGACGAUCUGUAGCUGGUCUGAGAGGACGACCAGCCACACUGGGGACUGAGACACGGCCCAGACUCCUACGGGAGGCAGCAGUGGGGAAUUUUUGGGACAAUGGGCGCAAGUCUGAUCCAGCCAUGCCGCGUGUGGGAAGAAGGGCCUUCGGGUUGUAAACCACUUUUGUCAGGGAAGAAACGGGUUCGAGCCAAUACCUCGAGCUAAUGACGGUACCUGAA
rnacentral:rRNA from 1 species